rnacentral:rRNA from 1 species
GACGAACGCUGGCGGCGUGCUUAACACAUGCAAGUCGAACGCUGAAGGCCCAGCUUGCUGGGUUGGAUGAGUGGCGAACGGGUGAGUAACACGUGAGUAACCUGCCCCCUUCUUUGGGAUAACGGUCGGAAACGGCUGCUAAUACCGGGUAUUCACUGUCCUUCGCAUGGGGGAUGGUGGAAAGGUUUUUUCUGGUGGGGGAUGGGCUCGCGGCCUAUCAGCUUGUUGGUGGGGUGAUGGCUUACCAAGGCUUUGACGGGUAACCGGCCUGAGAGGGUGACCGGUCACAUUGGGACUGAGAUACGGCCCAGACUCCUACGGGAGGCAGCAGUGGGGAAUAUUGCACAAUGGGCGAAAGCCUGAUGCAGCGACGCCGCGUGAGGGAUGGAGGCCUUCGGGUUGUAAACCUCUUUCGCUCAUGGUCAAGCCGCAACUUUGGGUUGUGGUGAGGGUAGUGGGUAAAGAAGCACCGGCUAACUACGUGCCAGCAGCCGCGGUAAUACGUAGGGUGCGAGCGUUGUCCGGAAUUAUUGGGCGUAAAGGGCUUGUAGGCGGUUUGUCGCGUCUGCCGUGAAAUCCUCUGGCUUAACUGGGGGCGUGCGGUGGGUACGGGCAGGCUUGAGUGCGGUAGGGGAGACUGGAACUCCUGGUGUAGCGGUGGAAUGCGCAGAUAUCCGGAAGAACACCGGUGGCGAAGGCGGGUCUCUGGGCCGUUACUGACGCUGAGGAGCGAAAGCGUGGGGAGCGAACAGG